rnacentral:lncRNA from 1 species
CGACAAAAUUGUGUUUUGGUGAUGGUGACGUGUAUGUAGAUCUUAUUGUACUGAACAUUCUUGUUGCUACAAUUAUCUCUAUUUAUAAUGAUCUUGGCCCAGUAAUUACAGUGGAAAAUAUUUUUUUUAAAUUGACCAAAAUUUAUGAAAAAUGUAAAAAAUUGACUAUAAAGGGCAAUAACUCCUUAAGGGGUCAAUUGACAAUUUUGGUCAUGUUGUCUUAUUUGUAGAUCUUAUUUUGCUGAACAUUAUUGCUGUUUACAGUUUAUCUCUAUCUAUAUAAAUAUUCAAGAUAAUAACCAAAACACGGCAAAAUUCCCUUAAAAUUACCAAUUCAGGGGCAGCAACCCAACAACGGGUUGUCCGAUUCAUCUGAAAAUUUCAUGGCAGAUAGAUCUUUACCUGAUAAACA